UAAGCGACUAAGCGUACACGGUGGAUGCCCUGGCAGUCAGAGGCGAUGAAGGACGUGCUAAUCUGCGAUAAGCGUCGGUAAGGUGAUAUAGAACCGUUAUAACCGGCGAUUUCCGAAUGGGGAAACCCAGUGUGUUUCGUCACACUAUCAUUAACUGAAUCCAUUAGGUUAAUGAGGCGAACCGGGGGAACUGAAACAUCUAAGUACCCCGAGGUAAAAGAAAUCAACCGAGAUUCCCCCAGUAGCGGCGAGCGAACGGGGAGCAGCCCAGAGCCUGAAUCAGUGUGUGUGUUAGUGGAAGCGUCUGGAAAGGCGCGCGAUACAGGGUGACAGCCCCGUACACAAAAAUGCACAUACUGUGAGCUCGAUGAGUAGGGCGGGACACGUGGUAUCCUGUCUGAAUAUGGGGGGACCAUCCUCCAAGGCUAAAUACUCCUGACUGACCGAUAGUGAACCAGUACCGUGAGGGAAAGGCGAAAAGAACCCCGGCGAGGGGAGUGAAAAAGAACCUGAAACCGUGUACGUACAAGCAGUGGGAGCCUCUUUUAUGGGGUGACUGCGUACCUUUUGUAUAAUGGGUCAGCGACUUAUAUUCUGUAGCAAGGUUAACCGAAUAGGGGAGCCGAAGGGAAACCGAGUCUUAACCGGGCGUUAAGUUGCAGGGUAUAGACCCGAAACCCGGUGAUCUAGCCAUGGGCAGGUUGAAGGUUGGGUAACACUAACUGGAGGACCGAACCGACUAAUGUUGAAAAAUUAGCGGAUGACUUGUGGCUGGGGGUGAAAGGCCAAUCAAACCGGGAGAUAGCUGGUUCUCCCCGAAAGCUAUUUAGGUAGCGCCUCGUGAAUUCAUCUCCGGGGGUAGAGCACUGUUUCGGCAAGGGGGUCAUCCCGACUUACCAACCCGAUGCAAACUGCGAAUACCGGAGAAUGUUAUCACGGGAGACACACGGCGGGUGCUAACGUCCGUCGUGAAGAGGGAAACAACCCAGACCGCCAGCUAAGGUCCCAAAGUCAUGGUUAAGUGGGAAACGAUGUGGGAAGGCCCAGACAGCCAGGAUGUUGGCUUAGAAGCAGCCAUCAUUUAAAGAAAGCGUAAUAGCUCACUGGUCGAGUCGGCCUGCGCGGAAGAUGUAACGGGGCUAAACCAUGCACCGAAGCUGCGGCAGCGACACUGUGUGUUGUUGGGUAGGGGAGCGUUCUGUAAGCCUGUGAAGGUGUGCUGUGAGGCAUGCUGGAGGUAUCAGAAGUGCGAAUGCUGACAUAAGUAACGAUAAAGCGGGUGAAAAGCCCGCUCGCCGGAAGACCAAGGGUUCCUGUCCAACGUUAAUCGGGGCAGGGUGAGUCGACCCCUAAGGCGAGGCCGAAAGGCGUAGUCGAUGGGAAACAGGUUAAUAUUCCUGUACUUGGUGUUACUGCGAAGGGGGGACGGAGAAGGCUAUGUUGGCCGGGCGACGGUUGUCCCGGUUUAAGCGUGUAGGCUGGUUUUCCAGGCAAAUCCGGAAAAUCAAGGCUGAGGCGUGAUGACGAGGCACUACGGUGCUGAAGCAACAAAUGCCCUGCUUCCAGGAAAAGCCUCUAAGCAUCAGGUAACAUCAAAUCGUACCCCAAACCGACACAGGUGGUCAGGUAGAGAAUACCAAGGCGCUUGAGAGAACUCGGGUGAAGGAACUAGGCAAAAUGGUGCCGUAACUUCGGGAGAAGGCACGCUGAUAUGUAGGUGAAGUCCCUCGCGGAUGGAGCUGAAAUCAGUCGAAGAUACCAGCUGGCUGCAACUGUUUAUUAAAAACACAGCACUGUGCAAACACGAAAGUGGACGUAUACGGUGUGACGCCUGCCCGGUGCCGGAAGGUUAAUUGAUGGGGUCAGCGCAAGCGAAGCUCUUGAUCGAAGCCCCGGUAAGCGGCGGCCGUAACUAUAACGGUCCUAAGGUAGCGAAAUUCCUUGUCGGGUAAGUUCCGACCUGCACGAAUGGCGUAAUGAUGGCCAGGCUGUCUCCACCCGAGACUCAGUGAAAUUGAACUCGCUGUGAAGAUGCAGUGUACCCGCGGCAAGACGGAAAGACCCCGUGAACCUUUACUAUAGCUUGACACUGAACAUUGAGCCUUGAUGUGUAGGAUAGGUGGGAGGCUUUGAAGUGUGGACGCCAGUCUGCAUGGAGCCGACCUUGAAAUACCACCCUUUAAUGUUUGAUGUUCUAACGUGGACCCGUGAUCCGGGUUGCGGACAGUGUCUGGUGGGUAGUUUGACUGGGGCGGUCUCCUCCUAAAGAGUAACGGAGGAGCACGAAGGUUGGCUAAUCCUGGUCGGACAUCAGGAGGUUAGUGCAAUGGCAUAAGCCAGCUUGACUGCGAGCGUGACGGCGCGAGCAGGUGCGAAAGCAGGUCAUAGUGAUCCGGUGGUUCUGAAUGGAAGGGCCAUCGCUCAACGGAUAAAAGGUACUCCGGGGAUAACAGGCUGAUACCGCCCAAGAGUUCAUAUCGACGGCGGUGUUUGGCACCUCGAUGUCGGCUCAUCACAUCCUGGGGCUGAAGUAGGUCCCAAGGGUAUGGCUGUUCGCCAUUUAAAGUGGUACGCGAGCUGGGUUUAGAACGUCGUGAGACAGUUCGGUCCCUAUCUGCCGUGGGCGCUGGAGAACUGAGGGGGGCUGCUCCUAGUACGAGAGGACCGGAGUGGACGCAUCACUGGUGUUCGGGUUGUCAUGCCAAUGGCACUGCCCGGUAGCUAAAUGCGGAAGAGAUAAGUGCUGAAAGCAUCUAAGCACGAAACUUGCCCCGAGAUGAGUUCUCCCUGACCCUUUAAGGGUCCUGAAGGAACGUUGAAGACGACGACGUUGAUAGGCCGGGUGUGUAAGCGCAGCGAUGCGUUGAGCUAACCGGUACUAAUGAACCGUGAGGCUUAACCU
rnacentral:rRNA from 1 species